rnacentral:lncRNA from 1 species
CAUUUUUCAAGUGUCUGUCAUGCUAGAGAAUGGAAAUACAGCUUCACAUAAUUCAUAGCCCCUGGAUCAAAGAUUCUAAAGUCUUGAAAUCCCAAAUUGUCAUUGCUCCAUCAAUGCCAGUGGUGCAAAAUUUGUGGCAGUCUCACUUGCCCACUUCAUAAGUGGAAACUUGGGUGAUACUGUUUUGGUGUAACGUGUCUAGAGCAGUAUUGCGAUCCUCAGUCAUGGCUCUCUUGUCCAUGUUGCAGAAGCAUUCCGUGGCAAAGAUGUUGCGCUGGAUGCCCUGUUUUGGAAUGUCUAAUUUGGAGACAAAGGUCAAGGAGACACGGUCAAGUGGAGAGCCGCUGGACACACUGCUGAGAGACAGAUCUUUUCACUUGGAAACUGUGAUUUAUCCAUCCUUAUUGUAA